rnacentral:tRNA from 1 species
GCGCCUGUAGCUCAGUUGGAUAGAGCAACGGACUUCUAAUCCGUGUGUCGGGGGUUCGACUCCCUCCAGGCGCACCA